ensembl:misc_RNA 7SK 7SK RNA
AAUUGAGAGCAAGCUGUCUGUGGCAUCUGUCAACCCCAAUGACUGCCAGAAUUGGUUUGGUAAAUCUGCCCUGCUGGGAAGGUGUCCCCUUUCUUCCUGGCUCUGCUACAUGUGUCUCUCCCAAAGCUGCAUGCUUUGUUGAAGAGGGUGAUUUUCCUAGAGAGAGGAGAAGGAUGUACACGAGUCAAGUUCUCCUAUUGGACUGUCCAGGGCUCAGCAAGUAGGCUAUCCCACCUGGCUGUGACACUCCCACUACAUAAUGAGCCACCUGAAGGUGAAGAUAUCAUCUUUGUGU